rnacentral:rRNA from 1 species
ANAGUUUGAUGCUGGCUCAGAUUGAACGCUGGCGGUAUGCUUAACACAUGCAAGUCGAACGGUAACAGACCGCUGUGAUCCCUUCGGGGUGAACUUGGUGCUGACGAGUGGCGGACGGGUGAGUAACGCGUAGGAAUUUACCCAGUAGAAGGGGAUAGCCCGGAGAAAUCCGGAUUAAUACCGUAUACGCCUAGCCUAGCUAGGGAAAGAGGGCCUCUCCUUGGAAGCUCUCACUAUUGGAUGAGCCUGCGUCCGAUUAGCUUGUUGGUGGGGUAAAAGCCUACCAAGGCGACGAUCGGUAGCUGGUCUGAGAGGAUGAUCAGCCACACUGGGACUGAGACACGGCCCAGACUCCUACGGGAGGCAGCAGUGGGGAAUAUUGGACAAUGGGCGCAAGCCUGAUCCAGCAAUGCCGCGUGUGUGAAGAAGGCCUGCGGGUUGUAAAGCACUUUCAGUAGAGAAGAAAAGCCUAGGGUUAAUAACCCUGAGUCUUGACGUAACCUACAGAAGAAGCACCGGCUAACUCAGUGCCAGCAGCCGCGGUAAUACUGAGGGUGCGAGCGUUAAUCGGAAUUACUGGGCGUAAAGCGAGUGUAGGCGGCUACGUAAGUCGGAUGUGAAAGCCCUGGGCUUAACCUGGGAAUUGCAUUCGAUACUGCGUAGCUAGAGUCUGAUAGAGGUAAGUGGAACUCCGGGUGUAGCGGUGAAAUGCGUAGAUAUCCGGAGGAACAUCAGUGGCGAAGGCGGCUUACUGGACCAAAACUGACGCUGAGGCUCGAAAGCGUGGGGAGCAAAC